UGCUCUCGAGUGCCUUCAAAAAAGCCC
rnacentral:piRNA from 1 species